rnacentral:rRNA from 1 species
UGGGGAAUAUUGCACAAUGGGCGCAAGCCUGAUGCAGCCAUGCCGCGUGUAUGAAGAAGGCCUUCGGGUUGUAAAGUACUUUCAGCGAGGAGGAAGGCAUUAAGGUUAAUAACCUUAGUGAUUGACGUUACUCGCAGAAGAAGCUCCGGCUAACUCCGUGCCAGCAGCCGCGGUAAUACGGAGGGUGCAAGCGUUAAUCGGAAUUACUGGGCGUAAAGCGCACGCAGGCGGUCUGUUAAGUCAGAUGUGAAAUCCCCGGGCUCAACUUGGGAACUGCAUGUGAAACUGGAAGGGUUGAGUCGUGUAGAGGGGGGGAGAGUUCCAGGUGGAACGGUGAAAUGCGGAGAGAUCUGGAGGAAUACCGGUGGCGGAAGCGGCCCCCUGGACAAAGACUGACGCACAGGUACGAAAGCGUGGGGAGCAAACA